UACGAAGGGGGCUAGCGUUGCUCGGAAUUACUGGGCGUAAAGCGUGCGUAGUCGGUUAUCUAAGUCAGGUGUGAAAUCCCCGGGCUCAACCUGGGAAUUGCAUUUGAUACUGGAUAGCUAGAGUUCGGCAGAGGGAAGUGGAAUUUCUGGUGUAGCGGUGAAAUGCGUAGAUAUCAGAAGGAACAUCAGUGGCGAAAGCGACUUCCUGGACCAGAACUGACGAUCAGGCACGAAAGCGUGGGGAGCAAACAGG
rnacentral:rRNA from 1 species